rnacentral:rRNA from 1 species
UCGCCUGUUUUNUCAAAAACAUCUCUUCUUGUUGUCUUUAUUUGAAGUACGGCCUGCCCACUGAUUUUUUGAAGGGCCGCGGUAUUUUGACCGUGCAAAGGUAGCAAAGUCAUUAGUUUUUUAAUUGUAAACUGGUAUGAAUGGCUUGACGAGGUACUUACUGUCUUUAUAAGAUUUAUUUGUAUUGAAUUUGGUUUUUGAGUAAAAAAACUUAAAUUUUUUUAUGGGACGAGAAGACCCUAUAGAGUUUUAUAUAAUUUUUUUCUUUUGUUAUUUUGGUUUGUUUUAUUGAAUUUGAUUUUAUUUUGUUGGGGUGAUGGGAAAGUAUAUAUAACCUUUCUUUUUUUUUAUUACUUAUUUGUAUUUUUUUGAUCCUUUAUUAUUGAUUUUAAGAUUAAAUUACCUUAGGGAUAACAGCGUAAA